rnacentral:rRNA from 1 species
GAAGUAGUGCCUAUGCGCUAUUUAGUGGCAAACGGGUGAGUAACACGUAGCUUAGCUGUCCUAAAGUGGGGGAUAGCCGCGGGAAGCCGCGGGUAAUACCGCAUGUGAUCUACGGAUUAAAGCUUAAUGCGCUUUAGGAGGUGGCUGCGGCCCAUCAGGUUGUUGGCGGGGUAAUGGCCCACCAAGCCUAUGACGGGUAUCCGGCCUGAGAGGGUGAUCGGACACAUUGGAACUGAGACACGGUCCAGACUCCUACGGGAGGCAGCAGCUAGGAAUUUUCCGCAAUGGACGAAAGUCUGACGGAGCAACGCCGCGUGAAGGAUGAAGGUCUUUAGGGAUUGUAAACUUCUUUUAUAUGAGACGAGUAAGGACGGUAUCAUAAGAAUAAGUCCCGGCUAACUACGUGCCAGCAGCCGCGGUAAUACGUAGGGGGCUAGCGUUGUUCGGAAUUACUGGGUAUAAAGGGUGCGCAGGCGGAUUUCUAAGCAAGAGGUGAAAUGUCAAGGCUCAACCAUGGCACUGCCUUUUGAACUGGUUAUCUGGAGUACAGAAGGGGAGAGCAGAAUUUCCGGUGUAGGGGUGGAAUCUAUAGAUAUCGGAAGGAAUACCGUUCGCGAAGGCGGCUCUCU